GCAUCUGUUUUUCGCUGUUAAAUGGGUGAACCAAAUCGCCAUUGUUGGGCUAUCAAAGGUAAGUUGACUUUCAUAUUACCAAAGUAACUAUAAACGGGUAAACGGGUAAGCAAAAGUCUGUUCUCCCACAUUGAAGUCUAUAUAUAUAUAGUAAUAACUGCUAAAAGCUAACUUAUAGAUAUUGUAAUUAUUAGUUAAGUAAUAUCUACUUAGAAUAGAACCGUUAAAUGAGUACGAAAAUGUUAAGCUAGUCUAAUUUUGCAGAAUUUGUAUCUAGUAUUGCCCAAAUGGGUUAAGUUACUUGAGGUUAUAAGAUAAGAAGGCUUAAGAUUUCGAUUCUGGCGAACAUUGAAGGCUGUGGCCUUGGGACUUGCAUACUUUCGGGCGGCGCUCGUAAUGAACCGGCUGCAUUUUUCGAUGCUUUCGCAAUUAGCGGUGCUUAAAAGACUUCG
rnacentral:sRNA from 1 species